UUAUUGAAAAAUAAAAAAUAAGCACUUGUUUUUCGGAAUAGGAAAUGCGCCAAGCCAUAAUCUCUCAAACUCUGUUUUUCAAUUUCAUUUCCAUUUUCAGAGUUUCUCUCAAAGUUUCUCGUGCAUUUCCAGAGUUUCUCGUGCUUGAAAGUUUCUCUCUUCGCCAUCGCCAUAAUCUCUCUUCGCCAUCGACAUAAUCUCUCUUCUCCAUGGAUUAAAGGGUUUACUGAUAAUUUGAGGCUCUCUUCAAUGUCUUCACAUGAUAAAUUGCCUGGGCUUUUGGAUCAGCGUUACAGAGGCAUUGCUCGAGGAGUAGGUCAAUAUGAGAUAUUGGUUUGAUACAUGUAGCUCCAAUAAAGGAAGAAUUCCCAUAUGGAAUUGUAGUCAGAUUUUAGCUGUCGAUUGCACCUCAGGAUUGAGCCAUUGUAUCUUUUAGUUGUUAUUUUCUAUUGUUACUAUAUCCUAAUAGCUCGAUUCUAAUUUCAUUAUUACAUUCUGUUUAUUCCAUGUAGAUUGGGAGUCAAUUUUAUCCGUGCUGCUUUUUGGUGCUAGAUUCUCCCAAUAUGUAAUUUCUUUAUGGGCUUGAUAUGCUUCGCAAGCACCAGGCAGCCUCGGCCUUUGGACUUUUUCUCUAAUAGUUUUCUUUGAGCUUUGUUAGUUAAGUGUACCUGUAUUAUCUAAUGUUAGCUAAUAUCUGCAGUGCAUUAUGAAUGUGAAAGAGAAUCUUUUGAAAGUUGCCGGUGGAGAAGUUUCUGUACCAUUUUUGCAAGGUUAGUCAUCUGGUUUUCCAUUUUUCUCCGUGAUUCGUAAUGUCUGAAAUUGUUUCAUCUACAAAAUAACAACUACAAAACAAAUGGCUGACUGUAUACUACGCCACGCCACCGUAACUUGUUAUUCGUCACUGCUAAGUGAUAGCCUAUGGUAGUGCCACCCAUCCUUUUUUUAUUAUUUAAUGUGAUGGCAUCUGAUUAAAUAUAUGUAAGUUUGUUUUGGAAUAAUUUAUUGUCUUCAAGCUAAUGUGAUUAGAUAUUAGAAAUCUUAAGACCUAUUUUUGAUGCUUUAACAAUGCAGCUGUGCUUUUUAUCUCCAUCUUAAACACACUUAAAAUCUUUAUUACCCUACACUAAUAUUUGAUGGCAUGGAUAUAGGCUAAUUAGUAAAUCGGUUAUUCUUUAAACCUUAGUAGGCCACCUGGCAUAAGAAAUACUAUUCAAAAUCAGCUUGGCCGCCUUUGUACAUGUGAGUAAUAAAUCACGUCUCAAGUGAAUCUGAUGGCAAAUGAACCAAGUGAAAAAUCGGAUUCUGAAAGCGCUAAAUUUUGAGUGACAGCUCCUCUAGUUAAGUACUCGUUCUCUUGCACAUUUAUCUCAUUAAGUUAUGUUUGCAAAUUUUGAGUAUUAUUGUUUGUGGUUUUGCAGGAUAUGAGGAAGAUAUUUGUGGAAAAUGGUUCUGUAGUAGAAAAGGCGCUCAAUGUUUAGUAGUAUAAUUGUUAUUUUUGAUGAAUAUUUUAGUGAACAUUUUCUGUUUGUGAUGUAAUGGA